rnacentral:tRNA from 1 species
GAAUCAAGUAAUUCAAAAAAAAGCUUCUAACUUUAGUUUUAAGCGGUGAAAUUCCGUUUUUGAUUCU